GCGGACGGGUGAGUAACGCGUGGGAACAUACCCUUUGGUACGGAAUAGCCCUGGGAAACUGGGAGUAAUACCGUAUGUGCCCUUCGGGGGAAAGAUUUAUCGCCAAAGGAUUGGCCCGCGUUGGAUUAGGUAGUUGGUGGGGUAAUGGCCUACCAAGCCGACGAUCCAUAGCUGGUUUGAGAGGAUGAUCAGCCACACUGGGACUGAGACACGGCCCAGACUCCUACGGGAGGCAGCAGUGGGGAAUCUUAGACAAUGGGGGCAACCCUGAUCUAGCCAUGCCGCGUGUGUGAUGAAGGCCUUAGGGUCGUAAAGCACUUUCGCCAGGGAUGAUAAUGACAGUACCUGGUAAAGAAACCCCGGCUAACUCCGUGCCAGCAGCCGCGGUAAUACGGAGGGGGUUAGCGUUGUUCGGAAUUACUGGGCGUAAAGCGCGCGUAGGCGGACCGAUCAGUCAGAGGUGAAAUCCCAGGGCUCAACCCUGGAACUGCCUUUGAUACUGUCGGUCUUGAGGUCGAGAGAGGUGAGUGGAAUUCCGAGUGUAGAGGUGAAAUUCGUAGAUAUUCGGAGGAACACCAGUGGCGAAGGCGGCUCACUGGC
rnacentral:rRNA from 1 species